rnacentral:misc_RNA from 1 species
CUACCCCAACUCUCCAUCACUGAUGUCAAACAAUACAACGUCAGCCACUCGUUUUGCUUUACCCUUCCCAAAUCCUAUCUUUAAUGGCCUUGAUGGGAUUUCACUAAGUAGUAGUUAUUCUAGCUCAAGAAUCUGUGGUAAGUUUGAGAAAUUCCAAGGUGAAUCUCCCCUGCAGGACAAUCUGAAGAGACUACCCAGUUACAGGCGCAGCCG